rnacentral:rRNA from 1 species
AGUGAACGCUGGCGGUAGGCCUAACACAUGCAAGUCGAACGGCAGCACAGUAAGAGCUUGCUCUUACGGGUGGCGAGUGGCGGACGGGUGAGGAAUACAUCGGAAUCUACUUUUUCGUGGGGGAUAACGUAGGGAAACUUACGCUAAUACCGCAUACGACCUACGGGUGAAAGCAGGGGAUCUUCGGACCUUGCGCGAUUGAAUGAGCCGAUGUCGGAUUAGCUAGUUGGCGGGGUAAAGGCCCACCAAGGCGACGAUCCGUAGCUGGUCUGAGAGGAUGAUCAGCCACACUGGAGCUGAGACACGGUCCAGACUCCUACGGGAGGCAGCAGUGGGGAAUAUUGGACAAUGGGCGCAAGCCUGAUCCAGCCAUACCGCGUGGGUGAAGAAGGCCUUCGGGUUGUGAAGCCCUUUUGUUGGGAAAGAAAAGCAGCAGGUUAAUACCCCGCUGUUCUGACGGUACCCAAAGAAUAAGCACCGGCUAACUUCGUG